GACGAACGCUGGCGGCGUGCUUAACACAUGCAAGUCGAACGGAAAGGCCCUGCUUUUGUGGGGUGCUCGAGUGGCGAACGGGUGAGUAACACGUGAGUAACCUGCCCUUGACUUUGGGAUAACUUCAGGAAACUGGGGCUAAUACCGGAUAGGAGCUCCUGCUGCAUGGUGGGGGUUGGAAAGUUUCGGCGGUUGGGGAUGGACUCGCGGCUUAUCAGCUUGUUGGUGGGGUAGUGGCUUACCAAGGCUUUGACGGGUAGCCGGCCUGAGAGGGUGACCGGCCACAUUGGGACUGAGAUACGGCCCAGACUCCUACGGGAGGCAGCAGUGGGGAAUAUUGCACAAUGGGCGGAAGCCUGAUGCAGCAACGCCGCGUGCGGGAUGACGGCCUUCGGGUUGUAAACCGCUUUCGCCUGUGACGAAGCGUGAGUGACGGUAAUGGGUAAAGAAGCACCGGCUAACUACGUGCCAGCAGCCGCGGUGAUACGUAGGGUGCGAGCGUUGUCCGGAUUUAUUGGGCGUAAAGGGCUCGUAGGUGGUUGAUCGCGUCGGAAGUGUAAUCUUGGGGCUUAACCCUGAGCGUGCUUUCGAUACGGGUUGACUUGAGGAAGGUAGGGGAGAAUGGAAUUCCUGGUGGAGCGGUGGAAUGCGCAGAUAUCAGGGGGAACACCAGUGGCGAAGGCGGUUCUCUGGGCCUUUCCUGACGCUGAGGAGCGAAAGCGUGGGGAGCGAACAGGCUUAGAUACCCUGGUAGUCCACGCUGUAAACGGUGGGUACUAGGUGUGGGGUCCAUUCCACGGGUUCCGUGCCGUAGCUAACGCUUUAAGUACCCCGCCUGGGGAGUACGGCCGCAAGGCUAAAACUCAAAGGAAUUGACGGGGCCCCGCACAAGCGGCGGAGCAUGCGGAUUAAUUCGAUGCAACGCGUAGAACCUUACCUGGGUUUGACAUGGAUCGGGAGUGCUCAGAGAUGGGUGUGCCUCUUUUGGGGUCGGUUCACAGGUGGUGCAUGGCUGUCGUCAGCUCGUGUCGUGAGAUGUUGGGUUAAGUCCCGCAACGAGCGCAACCCUUGUUCACUGUUGUCAGCACGUUAUGGUGGGGACUCAGUGGAGACCGCCGGGGUCAACUCGGAGGAAGGUGGGGAUGACGUCAAGUCAUCAUGCCCCUUAUGUCCAGGGCUUCACGCAUGCUACAAUGGCUGGUACAGAGAGUGGCGAGCCUGUGAGGGUGAGCGAAUCUCGGAAAGCCGGUCUCAGUUCGGAUUGGGGUCUGCAACUCGACCUCAUGAAGUCGGAGUCGCUAGUAAUCGCAGAUCAGCAACGCUGCGGUGAAUACGUUCCCGGG
rnacentral:rRNA from 1 species